rnacentral:rRNA from 1 species
UACGAAGGGGGCUAGCGUUGCUCGGAAUCACUGGGCGUAAAGCGCACGUAGGCGGAUUGUUAAGUCAGGGGUGAAAUCCUGGAGCUCAACUCCAGAACUGCCUUUGAUACUGGCGAUCUCGAGUCCGGGAGAGGUGAGUGGAACUGCGAGUGUAGAGGUGAAAUUCGUAGGUAUUCGCAAGAACACCAGUGGCGAAGGCGGCUCACUGGCCCGGUACUGACGCUGAGGUGCGAAAGCGUGGGGAGCAAACAGG